rnacentral:rRNA from 1 species
UACGUAGGGGCAAGCGUUGUCCGGAAUCAUUGGGCGUAAAGAGCGUGUAGGCGGCUUGGUAAGUCCGCUGUGAAAGUCCAGGGCUCAACCCUGGAAAGCCGGUGGAAACUGUCAAGCUUGAGUCCGGAAGAGGCGAGUGGAAUUCCUGGUGUAGCGGUGAAAUGCGCAGAUAUCAGGAGGAACACCAAUGGCGAAGGCAGCUCGCUGGGACGGUACUGACGCUGAGACGCGAAGCGUGGGAGCAACAGG